UUCUCAUAACUGUAUCUCAAUAUAGUUUUCUUUGUAACAUUUAGAAACAUCCUUCUGAACAAGUCCGUGGGAUUCGCCAGAUUGGGUCUUGAGAUCCUAGGGAAUUCUCUUUGCGAGUCCGCGCUUCUGGAUCAUCUUUGCUAUGGGGCACUCGAGCCUGCCCACGCAAUUUACCCCGGCCAGCUCCCAGGGGAAGCCCUCCAGUUAAUGUGGUUAAUAGGGUGUGUCUCCCACAAACAAGCUGGGGAAGUCCACAGCGACGUGAAGAGCGUGUGUACGUAUGCACGUCCGUCAGUACUUGAGAAAGGUAGGAAAGUCCUUCUGGGAUCAAGCUAAGAGAACCUCCUAAGAGAAAUCCUUCUCCAAGGGCUCUAGAGGGCUAGGUACUGCUGAAGUGACAGGAGCCUGUGGAGCUUGCAUGGUGACUGUUACAGGUGGUCUCCAUGGGAAAGCCCGAGGAAUGAAGGGUCCAGGAAGUACAGGGAAAGCAAGAGUGCACCAACGAAGCAGAUGAAGACCAUCAGGAAUCUUAGAAGCACUGGGCUGUGGUGCUGCUGCUUGUGCCGGGUCUGGAUAUAAUGGUCUACUGAGUCAGCAAAGGAGAACUUCUCUGGCAUGUAGCCGAGAUGGUCACGGGCUUUUUGGAUCUGGAAGGCACAACUGAAGUCAAUGAAUGGAUCAAGAUAUUUAUUAAGCAUCUAUUAUGUGGUAGGCAAUAUACGAGGAACUGGGAAUACAAGUAGAAGAAAUAAAAUUAUUUUAACUUAUAAAGAACUUAUGCUUUUUUGUAAUAAAAUAUUUAUGAUGCCAUUAUGCAGUUUUAUCGAUAUGGAUUUCAAUAUUUUUCUAAUGAAUCACUUGAAUAAUAUUCUGAAGUUACUGAGAAAAUGUGUAUUUCUAUUAAAUACUUAAGUAGCUAUAAUAUCCUGCUGGCCCCCAGACAAACCUUCCACUCCAACCCAACACGUUUAUUAACUGUUGUUUGAAUGAGCUUUCUACUGAAGGAGCUUAAAUUCUGAUGCAAAGGGGAAGGAAGGGGACUAAGCAUUUAUCAAACAUCUAAUAAUAUGUGCCUGACACUGUGCUAAAGGGCUUUACAAAUGUCACCCUGUUUCAUCCUCACAACAAUCUUGUGAAGUACUGUUAUUAUCCCCUAUUGUACAGGUAUAGGACAUAUUAAAAUACUUAUAAUGUAAGUCUAAACUUAAUAAAUGCACACACAAGCACACAAGUAUAUUUACACACAAAGUAUAUAAGGUACUAUGGGAGAGAAGAGACUAAUAGUUGGGAAUGAAACAGGAAGGUGGUGUCUGAACUGCAUCUUGAAGGAUGAGGCAAAGGGGAGAUGGGAGUGCCAUUUCCUUCAUGAAUCUUUACCUGACAGCAUCCUCCUUUCCAUAGCUGAUAGGGGUUUCUCCUUUCUCAGGUAUGUAGCCACCCAGAGACAUAGCAGAGGAAGGGAUCAAGAACUUACUGCAAUGUAAUUUUUAUUUGCGGU